rnacentral:lncRNA from 10 species
GAAACGGAGUGGAACAAACACGGGCACCUACUUUAGGUUUAUUGAUUUUGCUUUCCAAGGGCUAAUUCCUUUAAACCUGCUGCUUAUAUUUUGACUGAGUCAGUGCUGCUGCUACAGUUAAAUAAGUUGAAGAUCUUGUAAGGAAUUUUAGCCUGUUUUUUUAAGACUCAUCUAACAGGUGGGGCGCAGUAGCUCAGGCCUGUAAUCCCAGCACUUUGGGAUACAGAGGCGGGCAGAUCACCUGGGGUUGGGAGUUGGAGACCAGCCUGACCAACAUGGAGAAACCCCAUCUCUAUUAAAAAUACAAAAUUAGCCAGGUGUGGUGGUGCAUGCCGCCUCCCGAGUAGCUAGGACCACAGGUGCCCGCCACCAUGCCCGGCUAAUUUUUUUGUAUUUU